UUCCUACGGGGGGCAGCAGUGAGGAAUAUUGGUCAAUGGUCGGGAGACUGAACCAGCCAAGCCGCGUGAGGGAUGAAGGUACAGAGUAUCGUAAACCUCUUUUGUCAGGGAACAAAGGCGGGGACGUGUCCCCGGAUGAGUGUACCUGAAGAAAAAGCAUCGGCUAACUCCGUGCCAGCAGCCGCGGUAAUACGGAGGAUGCGAGCGUUAUCCGGAUUUAUUGGGUUUAAAGGGUGCGCAGGCGGUCUGUUAAGUCAGCGGUCAAAGCCCGGGGCUCAACCCCGUCGAGCCGUUGAAACUGGCAG
rnacentral:rRNA from 1 species